GCCCUCGUAGGUUAACGGAUAGACCACUGGCCUCCGAAGCCGGGAAUACAGGUUCAAUUCCUGUCGAGGGCACCA
rnacentral:tRNA from 1 species